UUUCCGUAGGUGAACCUGCGGAAGGAUCAUUAACAAAUUCCAAAACUCGUCUUCCGGACGUUCCUGGGUUGGUCUCCUUCACAAGAGGAAAUCAGCCUGGGCCGUUCGGAUUACAAACAUACAUUUACAUUACUGGACAACCACAGGUAACCAAACCAAGGAUAAACCAAUGGUAAAAACAACUUUUAACAAUGGAUCUCUUGGCUCUUGCAUCAAUGAAGAACGCAGC
rnacentral:misc_RNA from 1 species